rnacentral:rRNA from 1 species
UCGAGCACGCGCGUGUGGCAUAUCAAUAAGCGGAGGAAAAGAAACUAACAAGGAUUCCCUAGUAUCGGCGAGUGAAGCGGGAAGAGCUCAAAUUUGAAAUCUUAAAGGUUUCCCUUGACGAAUUGUAGUUUAUAGAAGUGUUUUCUGUUAGUGGAGUUCGGUAAAAGUUCUUUGGAAUAGGACAUCAUAGAGGGUGAGAAUCCCGUAUUUGACCGUUACUUUCCUAGCUGUGUGAUACAGCUUUCAAAGAGUCGGAUUGUUUGGGAAUGCAGUCCAAAAUGGGUGGUAAAUUUCAUCUAAAGCUAAAUAUUGGCGAGAGACCGAUAGCGAACAAGUACCGUGAGGGAAAGAUGAAAAGAACUUUGAAAAGAGAGUUAAACAGUACGUGAAAUUGUCAAAAGGGAAGCGUUUGACACCAGUGUUGUUUUUCCGAAAAUCAAUUACGAAUGUUUUAUUUUUGAGGAGUUAUGACUUCAUCGGCUUGCUUCUCUCUUUAUGAAACUUUCUUAAUGCACUUUUCGGUUAACAAGUCAACAUCAAUUUCUUUUGUUGUAAAAGGGUAUGAGGAAGGUGGCUUUCUUUUCGGAGAAAGUGUUUAUAGCCUUGUAGCCUCUGCAAUCGGAGAGAUUGAGGUCUGCAGCGUAGAUCCUUCGGGGUUAGAUACGUUUGUGCUAAGUUAUAGCUUUUCAUAGACAACUUGUUGACUAUGUUUAGUCUUGUAGCUUACUCGCUGAUGCUAUUUUACCUACGCUUAGGAUGUUGAGCGCAUGUCUCUCUCU